UGGCGCUUUGCAAUGGUGAUUUGCAGGAAAACAGUGCAGGAUGCUGUGAUUCGUUUCUUGUGGUCGGAGGUUAUGUUUGAUGCUUAUAUUUAUCAAAGAUUUAAUGCACAUUAUGGAGAAAGUGUUUUGUCACGAAGUGUGUUUGAAUGGGCACAAAAGUUCAAAGAAGAUCGCACAAGUGUUAUGAAAAAACAGCUGGACGCCCGUCCACAUCCACGAUGACAACAUUGAACGUGCUCAUGAACUUAUUCUCUAUGGAAUAGACGAGUGACACUGGAUAAUGUGGCAAAUCAUUUGCAAAUCAGCCACGGCUCUGCUUAUGCAAUAGUGCACGACAGAUUUGGGUUUUAAAAAGUUUGUGCGAGAUGGAUGCCGAAAAAGCUGAUGAAAAGGUGAAGACGACGAUGCAUUCGUGGUUCGCAGCUCAGCCCAAAAAAUUUUUUAAUGAGAAAAUACGAAGGUCCUUCGGCAAAUGGACAAAGUGUAUACAGAAAUCGAGUGAUUAUGUUAAAAAAUGAUGUAUGUCUUUUUUGACAAUUGCUUAAAAUAAAUUCUACACCGACAGAGCGGGUAACUUUUUACUCACCCUCGCUGUUAAUCUAGAGGCUGGAGUACAAAGAAGUGGCACAAUGAUGUGGGCUGAUGACAUUUAUAAUUAUCAAGGAAUCACCCCUACAUUCGCUCAGAAUUUUAAUGAAACUGUCCCUUGGGAAGGAAGAACUGAUACCUUGAUAUCACGGUUUGUACAUCCUAUAUACACGACAAAUUUUAGAACAUUAUAUAACGAAGAACCAGAUCGUCGUGGCCAUGUGAUGUGAAUAAAAGGACUUGCAUCUGAUGAUAUUUUUAUAAUGUUAGAUAACAUAACUAAGCAUCUUCACAGUAAGAUAGGAUGACAUGGUUUACAUGAUCUUAAUGUUGUUCACUUGAGUGAUGAUAUUAUAAGGAAAAGUGUAAUAUCACAGGAUAUUUAUGUUUAGUAACCAGUAAUUCAGAGAUUGGUAUUCAUGGUUACUAUAACGAGGCUGUAGAAACGCACCCUUUCUUCUUUGCAAAUGGUCCUGUAUUUAUGUCUAAGCCGAAACUGGAACCUCUGAAUAAUUUAGAUUUAUUCUUGUUAUUUUCUAAAAUACUUAUCUACAGUAUACCAUAAGGAAUGAUACCGUAUCGCACCUAAUCAAGUGCCUUAAGAAACAUCAACAGGAUAUCACAGUAAUCCCUUAUCGACUGAUAUUUGUAGCCACUACAAUAUCUAUGACACUGGUAGUAAUUAUAAGAACAAUAACGAUGUUCUAUAAGAGGAAAUGAUGAUUAGGAACAAAAACUUACAGGAGAUAUCAUGCGGUGGAUGGAUAAUAUGUAAAAAAUAUUAAGCAGUAUAUGAAUUUUCAUAUUGCGUAGAGAUAACAAAAUGAAUUUUAAAAAAUGUCGACAUGAUUUUGAAAUAUAGUGAAACGUUUAAUUAGUAUCUUAAUAUCUUUAAAUAAUUAUUAUUUUAGAAUCAAUUGUAAUUGUAUCAUACGUACUUUUGAAUUCGUGCAAGAACAUAUGUUAUUUUGAAGUAGUUAUUAUUAGGAAAUUGUUAGACGCGAACAGUAUGCGAAAAGUUAGUAUGUAGUGUAAUAAUUAUCAAUCAAAACACAAGAAUUAAAUUCUUUAGGAAAAAAUUUCCGGAAUUUCUUAUUUACACGAUUAUAAAGAAAUCCAUAAUAAAAAGGAGCUGCUUUCUAAUACUUCUCUUCCUUGUAAUGCCUAUGUUAAUAAUAACGAGGUUCGACUUUUUGUUUUUAGAGGGAUACUGGAAAAUUUGAAAGUACAGUACCAUUGGGAAGAAAAUCACGAUAUUGAAAACGAUAUUUGCAAAUUGAACAAUAUUCCAGAUUUAUUCAUAAUUUCAUACUACGCGAAGAAUAGACUUUCAUAGGUAUAUAAAGGAAAUAUUAAGUAUAGGAAAACUCUUUUUCAUUGUAGGUGACAUAUGCUUCACGGUUGAACGUAUUUUUGAACACAUAUAAAUGAAAAAGUACUCUUAUGGAGAAAAAGAAUUGAUACCUUCGAUUGACAUUAGAUAAUGUAUAUAAACUUAUGAACAAUCACUAUCGGUUUGUAUUUUAGGUGCACACGCAGAUUUGUUGGAGUUCUUAUAAAAUGUACUUCCUGUACGAACGUUUUAUUCUUCCAAAUUUUACGAUACUAUGUCUCAUAUAAUAACUAUAUGGAUUAAACGUAAUAUAAAUGAUCCGAAAAUAGACUCGAACGACAUUAAUUGUCUUUCUAUUUAUACCAAUAUCGAAAAUACAAGUAAAGCUGGAGCAAUAGUAUGCAAGAA